UACGGAGGGGGCUAGCGUUGUUCGGAAUUACUGGGCGUAAAGCGCACGUAGGCGGCUUUGCAAGUUAGAGGUGAAAGCCCGGGGCUCAACUCCGGAAUUGCCUUUAAAACUGCAUCGCUAGAGUUGUGGAGAGGUAAGUGGAAUUCCCAGUGUAGAGGUGAAAUUCGUAGAUAUUGGGAAGAACACCGGUGGCGAAGGCGGCUCUCUGGACCGAGACUGACGCUGAGGCGCGAAAGCGUGGGGAGCAAACAGG
rnacentral:rRNA from 1 species